AGAGUUUGAUUAUGGCUCAGAUUGAACGCUGGCGGCAGGCUUAACACAUGCAAGUCGAGCGGAAACGAAGGUAGCUUGCUACCAGGCGUCGAGCGGCGGACGGGUGAGUAAUGCUUAGGAAUCUACCGAGUAGUGGGGGAUAGCCAUUGGAAACGAUGAUUAAUACCGCAUAUAUCCUACGGGGGAAAGCAGGGGACCUUCGGGCCUUGCGCUAUUCGAUGAGCCUGAGUGAGAUUAGCUAGUUGGUGGGGUAAAGGCCUACCAAGGCGACGAUCUCUAGCUGGUCUGAGAGGAUGAUCAGCCACACUGGGACUGAGACACGGCCCAGACUCCUACGGGAGGCAGCAGUGGGGAAUAUUGCACAAUGGACGAAAGUCUGAUGCAGCCAUGCCGCGUGUGUGAAGAAGGCCUUCGGGUUGUAAAGCACUUUCAGCGAGGAGGAAAGGUCAGUAAGUAAUAUUUGCUGGCUGUGACGUUACUCGCAGAAGAAGCACCGGCUAAUUUAGUGCCAGCAGCCGCGGUAAUACUAAAGGUGCAAGCGUUAAUCGGAAUUACUGGGCGUAAAGCGCGCGUAGGUGGUUUGUUAAGUUGGAUGUGAAAGCCCAGGGCUCAACCUUGGAACUGCAUUCAAAACUGACUCACUAGAGUACGAGAGAGGUUAGUGGAAUUUCCUGUGUAGCGGUGAAAUGCGUAGAGAUGGGAAGGAACACCAGUGGCGAAGGCGACUGACUGGCUCGAUACUGACACUG
rnacentral:rRNA from 1 species